UUAAAUACACGGAUUAAAAGGGAAACCGGUCGAAUUCCGGUACGAUCCCGUCACUGUGAUAGGGAGUUGCGAAACAUAAUCCACUGGAGUGGCAGUCGCCAGUCUGGGAAGGAGUUUCGGAGCAAAGAUCUUAAGUCAGGAGACCUGCUUAUGGAU
rnacentral:ncRNA from 1 species